UACGUAGGGUGCGAGCGUUGUCCGGAAUUAUUGGGCGUAAAGGGCUCGUAGGCGGUUUGUCGCGUCGGGAGUGAAAACUCAGGGCUUAACCCUGAGCCUGCUUCCGAUACGGGCAGACUAGAGGUAUGCAGGGGAGAACGGAAUUCCUGGUGUAGCGGUGAAAUGCGCAGAUAUCAGGAGGAACACCGGUGGCGAAGGCGGUUCUCUGGGCAUUACCUGACGCUGAGGCGCGAAAGCGUGGGGAGCGAUCCGG
rnacentral:rRNA from 1 species